UGCCUUACCAUGCAAGUCGAACGGCAGCGCGGACUUCGGUCUGGCGGCGAGUGGCGAACGGGUGAGUAAUGUAUCGGAACGUGCCCUAGAGUGGGGGAUAACGUAGCGAAAGUUACGCUAAUACCGCAUACGAUCUAUGGAUGAAAGUGGGGGACCGUAAGGCCUCACGCUCAUGGAGCGGCCGAUAUCUGAUUAGCUAGUUGGUAGGGUAAUAGCCUACCAAGGCGACGAUCAGUAGCUGGUCUGAGAGGACGACCAGCCACACUGGGACUGAGACACGGCCCAGACUCCUACGGGAGGCAGCAGUGGGGAAUUUUGGACAAUGGGGGAAACCCUGAUCCAGCAAUGCCGCGUGUGUGAAGAAGGCCUCCGGGUUGUAAAGCACUUUUGUCAGGAACGAAACGGUGGGGGCUAAUAUCCUCUGCUAAUGACGGUACCUGAAGAAUAAGCACCGGCUAACUACGUGCCAGCAGCCGCGGUAAUACGUAGGGUGCGAGCGUUAAUCGGAAUUACUGGGCGUAAAGCGUGCGCAGGCGGUUGUGCAAGACAGAUGUGAAAUCCCCGGGCUUAACCUGGGAAUUGCAUUUGUGACUGCACGGCUAGAGUGUGUCAGAGGGGGGUAGAAUUCCACGUGUAGCAGUGAGAUGCGUAGAUAUGUGGAGGAAUACCAAUGGCGAAGGCAGCCCCCUGGGAUAACACUGACGCUCAUGCACGAAAGCGUGGGGAGCAAACAGGAUUAGAUACCCUGGUAGUCCACGCCCUAAACGAUGCUGACUAGUUGUUCGGGAUUUACAUCCUGAGUAACGUAGCUAACGCGUGAAGUCAGCCGCCUGGGGAGUACGGUCGCAAGAUUAAAACUCAAAGGAAUUGACGGGGACCCGCACAAGCGGUGGAUGAUGUGGAUUAAUUCGAUGCAACGCGAAAAACCUUACCUACCCUUGACAUGUCACUAACGAA
rnacentral:rRNA from 1 species